rnacentral:rRNA from 1 species
AUUGAACGCUGGCGGCAUGCUUUACACAUGCAAGUCGGACGGCAGCGGGGGUGCUUGCACCUGCCGGCGAGUGGCGAACGGGUGAGUAACAUAUUGGAAUGUACCGAGUAGUGGGGGAUAACCAAUCGAAAGAUUGGCUAAUACCGCAUACGUCCUGAGGGGGAAAGCAGGGGAUCUUCGGACCUUGCGCUAUUUGAGCAGCCAAUAUCUGAUUAGCUAGUUGGUGGGGUAAAGGCCCACCAAGGCGACGAUCAGUAGCGGGUCUGAGAGGAUGAUCCGCCACACUGGGACUGAGACACGGCCCAGACUCCUACGGGAGGCAGCAGUGGGGAAUUUUGGACAAUGGGGGCAACCCUGAUCCAGCCAUGCCGCGUGUCUGAAGAAGGCCUUCGGGUUGUAAAGGACUUUUGUUAGGGAAGAAAAGGGAAGUGCUAAUACCACUUUUUGCUGACGGUACCUAAAGAAUAAGCACCGGCUAACUACGUGCCAGCAGCCGCGGUAAUACGUAGGGUGCGAGCGUUAAUCGGAAUUACUGGGCGUAAAGCGAGCGCAGACGGUUACUUAAGCAGGAUGUGAAAUCCCCGGGCUCAACCUGGGAACUGCGUUCUGAACUGGGUAGCUAGAGUAUGUCAGAGGGGGUAGAAUUCCACGUGUAGCAGUGAAAUGCGUAGAGAUGUGGAGGAAUACCGAUGGCGAAAGGCAGCCCCCUGGGAUAAUACUGACGUUCAUGCUCGAAAGCGUGGGUAGCAAACAGG